rnacentral:rRNA from 1 species
ACGGGAGGCAGCAGUGGGGGAUAUUGCACAAUGGGGGAAACCCUGAUGCAGCGACGCCGCGUGAGUGAAGAAGUCUUUCGGUAUGUAAAGCUCUAUCAGCAGGGAGGAAAAUGACGGUACCUGACUAAGAAGCUCCGGCUAAAUACGUGCCAGCAGCCGCGGUAAUACGUCUGGAGCAAGCGUUAUCCGGAUUUACUGGGUGUAAAGGGAGCGUAGACGGUUUGCCAAGUCUGAUGUGAAAGGUGGGGGCUCAACCCCCAAACUGCAUUGGAAACUGGUAGACUAGAGUGUCGGAGAGGUAAGUGGAAUUCCUAGUGUAGCGGUGAAAUGCGUAGAUAUUAGGAGGAACACCAGUGGCGAAGGCGGCUUACUGGACGAUAACUGACGUUGAGGCUCGAAAGCGUGGGGAGCAAACAGGAUUAGAUACCCUGGUA